rnacentral:rRNA from 1 species
GACAGAGGGUGCAAACGUUGCUCGGAAUUAUUGGGCGUAAAGCGCGUGUAGGCGGCCUGCAAAGUCAGCUGUGAAAGCCCUCGGCUCAACCGAGGAAGUGCAGUUGAUACUGGUAGGCUUGAGUCCCGAAGAGGAUGGCGGAAUGCUCAGUGUAGAGGUGAAAUUCGUAGAUAUUGGGCAGAACACCGGUGGCGAAGGCGGCCAUCUGGGAGGGUACUGACGCUGAGACGCGAAGGCGUGGGGAUCAAACAGG